rnacentral:lncRNA from 13 species
GCAAUGGGAGCCUGUAACAAGGGUGACUAUUCUGGAGAAACUGCCCAAGAGAACCUCUGUGCCUUGGUGUCCUGAUGGAGGAGAAAAACCUGACUCAAAUGAGGAUACAUCAGUUUUAAUCCCAUCAAAUCAUUGGCCUUUCUGUUAAAAACUUUAAGAAGAUUGUCUUCUAUGCAGAUGUUAUUUGUGAUGUGAACAUAUUCUCUGGAUUUGGAAAAUAAAACCAAGCUGCUAUUCAUGGGAAACUGUAUGUGUCUGGAGAAAAUUGGAGGCCUAAACUUUUGAAGGCAUAAUACCCAGAAGGAAAAUUCUCUCCCAGAAGUUCUGAAUAUGCUCCCGAAUAUGUCCACGUAGUAAUGGUGUAACAGCAGAGAGGUAAUUUAGUUACUGUUAUGAAAAAUUCUUUUGUUGUGAGUGGGAAAACAUACGUAUGCUAUUUAUUAAAAAUGGACUUAAACCUGUUACCCACCUAUUCACUUACAACAUCACAAAAUGCAUUGUAUUAAAGCAGAAAAUACUAUUUCCCUGUAUUCCCAUUUAACAUCAGCACCAGCAUCUAUGUUUUUGAAAAAUGCAAUCAAAUUACUCGUUCCUGAAUCUUCUCUCGUGUUUGUCUUCAGUUCUCUCUGCUUUCCCCUUGUAUAUUGAAGCAAGUAUAGUUUGGGGACAAGAUGUCACUUUCAAUGCCUUGAUCUGAUUCUGAAGUAGCAUUAAUUGUUAGGAAUCAGAUGAUUUUAACAAGACAGUACAUUUUUUUAGCACUUCUUAUGAGGGUUUUGUGGGAAGACUGUGUGAAGAAAAUCAGUUAUUUUUGCAAUUGAUUGAGAAAUCAGUUUUAAAAGAUUCAGUUCUGCACAUUCAUUUGAUAGUUUUUCCAGCAGAGGGCAAGAAAGUACAACAGAUGGAAAUGGUGUUACUUUUCCAAAGAGCCACAGUGGAAAAGUUAAGCAGUAUAGCCUGAAGAUGGAACGUGAAAGAUUGAAACUAAGGAUGCAAUUCAAUUUACAGAGCAGCAAAGAUGGUCUUGAAUAUCUGAUUCUUGAAGUGCCAUGGAAUGAAGGACAGAUAUUCCUAACUCAGCCAAACAUCUGUUUUAAAAAAGUGAUUGCCCUCCUUGCGUGUAUAACCAGUACUGAAGAUCCAUUUUGUCUUUCAUAACCAUUGUAUCAUAAUGCUUUUCAAAGGCAUUUGAGUGAGUGGUAGUUGUUUUGCCAUUUUCUGAUCCAUCAAUACUGGUUUGCCACUUGCGGUGUUACUCUGUUCAUGUUGCUUUUAUUUACAGUUCUCAUCAGAAAUGGAGAAUGGGGCAUACAGCACUUUUUUUUUUCCUGUAACGUUCAUGAUGGUGUCUACCAUAUGCUCUCCCUACAUUUUUUGUAAAUACUCUAUGAGAACAUAUGUAUGUUAUUUCCUAACUCUCUUAUGCCAACACUUGUCUGAGAUGUCUGUAAGGAUGCUAUGUCUUAUGACAGUAUAACAAUCCUCUGAAUGCAAUUAAAAUUAUUUUGAAUGUUUUGGCGUGUUUUAAACACUAAUUCAUGUGCUAUUUAAAACUUCUUCCCAGGGUUCUGUUUGUGUCUUGACAAUUUGCCUAAAAUUAGAGUGUGUACAGAUCACAGGUCAUCUUUAGCUGAUGUUCAAGUGUCCAGCAUGCAUGAACUUUGGAGAAGUCUGUCAUCAAACUUGAAGUGAGAUACUAGUAUUGUGGCUAGGUCGUUAUAGUGGAUAUGUAAAUGUAAUCUUUUUUGCUCCUGAGCAUGUAAUUUUAGAUGGGAUACUAAGAACCUGUUCAAACAUUUCUCUUAUUUUGACUAUAUUUUUGUGAAAGGGUGAAGAAUUUAAGCAAAUGCCUCAUACCAAAAUGUUCUUCAGUGAAUGCUGUGCACCUGCUUUCUUUGCAUCUCCUUUGAGUCCUCAGUGUUUGUGAUAACCUAAUUAAAAUGGAAAAAAAUUGGAAUAUUUCCUUUUCAAACAUUGAUACAAACAUCCAAAAAGUUUGUAUGGGUAUCAGCAAUGGUCACAGAGCAAACAGAUUCAACUCCUAAAUUUGGGACUGAAGAUAAACACCCUGAACCCAAGCCCAUUCAUUUAUGGAUACAAGCUUGGUGAAGUCAGCAAUAUUACACAAAUUAAGAAGAUUUUCUUUAUAGUGGUUUGUAAGCAGAAAAUGUCCAUGAAUAAAUACUGAAGGCUGAUUUUUUCCAUGUGUUAGAAGGGUGUACACUGACAAGAAGUUGCAAGUUUUUUCAGAUUUGAUUGACACAUUCAUGUCUUGAGAAACCAGUGUGUGGCCAGAGUUCUUCAGGCUGUGAACCUGCACAGGCAAACAGAGGUGUGGAAGGGAUGAGCCAUGUAAUGCUAGUGGUCCUUCCCCUAGUGCUCCAAGUUUUAGACUGUGGACAAGAGUAAGUAUCUCAAACAGUCUGGUACCGUGCAGUGCUGUUAGAAGUCAAGAGUAACUGACAGAUUUGUGUGAACAACCUUUUGUAAUGCCUCUUUAGCAAAGAUAUCCUAAUUGUGUCUCUUUGAUGCUCUUUUCUAUCAAGGUUUGCCUUUGUGGAUGUUUGUAGUGGCAAGGGUAAUUCACUAUUUAUGGUAUGCAGAAUUCAUUAACAUUAGUUUCUGUACUGUGUUUUUUAAUCACCAGCAACAUGUGUUACUGGGCACAAAUUUGCAUCUGUUAUGCCUAUCAUUCUGAUGAGGGUGAGUGACUAAGGCACUUUUAAAGCAAGGUAAAGCAAUAUCAGUGUAAAAGUGAGGAAAUCAGACUUUAAUUAUGGUGUGCCACACCCACAGAUACAUUCCUCUGGCCACAAGACUGGGUUACUGGGCGACCUUUACUGGCCUUUUCAGUCUGUUUCAUAUUUGGCUAAUACAUAAGAGUUUUGGUUGGCAAUGUAUCUGGGCUAUAAAUGGAGAAGAACAGGAGUAGGUCUC